rnacentral:rRNA from 1 species
GGAAGGCCUUUGGGUUGUAAACCUCUUUUCUCAGGGAAGAAGAUCUGACGGUAACUGAGGAAUAAGCAUCGGCUAACUCCGUGCCAGCAGCCGCGGUAAUACGGAGGAUGCAAGCGUUAUCCGGAAUUAUUGGGCGUAAAGCGUCCGCAGGUGGUCUUUCAAGUCUGCUGUCAAAGACCAGAGCUUAACUCUGGGCAGGCGGUGGAUACUGAGAGACUAGAGUUCGGUAGGGGUAGCGGGAAUUCCCAGUGUAGCGGUGAAAUGCGUAGAUAUUGGGAAGAACAUCGGUGGAGAAGGCGUGUACUGGACCGAAACUGACACUCGGGACGAAAGCUAGGUAGC